rnacentral:lncRNA from 1 species
UAAGGGGUUCCUCACUGGGCAGGCAGUACCUUUAAUACUUGGGUGGCUAAUGGCUAUGUUUUUGUUAAACAGUUGGAAAGGUCUUUCUUGUGAACAAUCCUGA